UAACCGACAGUUUCGAAUCUGGCCAAUGAUGUUCCUCGAUCAUCCAGCCGUGUUUGCACUGUCGGAGUCCCCGUCGCUCUCGCUGCGAGAAACGAAUGUAUCCGGCCGUGCUCCCGAAACUUUUGAGGAAUUCCAACGUUUUUAAGCGAUUCAUCGAGUGGACGACUGCGUGCUGCAGUUGUGCUUUUCAUCUCCUGCGUACGCACAAAACUGGAAUGCUGGAGGACUUCAGCUCAAGAAUGUCAUGCUGGACCACUACCAGAGCGUGCUUAAAGGAAUCAAUGCCUUGAUGAAGGUAUCACCGAA